rnacentral:rRNA from 1 species
UUGGAGGGCAAGUCUGGUGCCAGCAGCCGCGGUGAUUCCAGCUCCAAUAGCGUAUAUUAAAGUUGUUGCAGUUAAAAAGCUCGUAGUUGAAUUUCGGGGUCAGUAGGUUGGUCAUGCCACUGGUAUGUACUGGUCUCACUGAUUCCUCCUUCCUGAUGAGCCGUAAUGCCAUUAAUUUGGUGUUGCGAGGAAUCUGGACUGUUACUUUGAAAAAAUUAGAGUGUUUAAAGCAAGCUAACGCUUGAAUACAUUAGCAUGGAAUAAUGAAAUAGGACGUUCGAUCCUAUUUUGUUGGUUUCUAGGAUUGACGUAAUGAUUAAUAGGGAUAGUUGGGGGCAUUAGUAUUCAAUUGUCAGAGGUGAAAUUCUUGGAUUUAUUGAAGACUAACUACUGCGAAAGCAUUUGCCAAGGAUGUUUUCAUUAAUCAAGAACGAAAGUUAGGGGAUCGAAGACGAUCAGAUACCGUCGUAGUCUUAACCAUAAACUAUGCCGACUAGGGAUCGGAUGAUGUUAAUUUUUUAAUGACUCAUUCGGCGCCUUACGGGAAACCAAAGUGUUUGGGUUC